GAAAACAAACAGCUGGGAAUACUUGCUAUCGCCAUUUAUAUCACAUUUGUCCCUUAUCUGGUGCGUCUCACUUUUUUUUUCUUUCGUCUGGUGUUACCAGUUUCAACAAGGAAAGCGGAACAAUCGAUAGAACAAUGGCACUGAGCCACAAUUGCAUCGACAUCCUCCUACCCCCUCCAUCUAUUUCCUCUCUUCCUCCACCAGUUUUUUUUUUUUCCCCUGUUAACUUAAAAAGUAACGACAAGCCAACUCGGUUGACUACGCAAUCACACACGCGCUUGGCGGCAGGCAACUGAUGCAAUCGCACAACAUCAGGCAAACACACACAGUGUGGUUGUGAGCUAUGCGUGACAAUGCCAUUCAUCAUUCACCCCGAUUCUCUUACCCAAAUUUUCUUCUAUUACAAUUCCCUGCCGACUGUUAUGGACCGAGAACAGGGAAUGACCGACACGAAACCGACUAACCUUUCACAGUUCCUGCUAGCACCACUUCGCGUGUGUUUUAACUGUAAAAAGAGAGGGGAAAAAAAAAAGUCUGUGUCGAUCCGGACCAACCAUGACUGCGUUAAAAAAAAAUAUAGACCAAGACUAACACAAUUUAAAGAGUUAUUUAAGAACUAAUCAGCCGGAUUGCGUGCGCGUUUAUACGAGAGAGAGAGACGGUGAGCUCCUGGACUUUACGUGGAUACACACAGUCAACCUCCGACAAUGUGUUUUUUUUUUUACGACUUCCUUUUUACACCGUCUCGACUACCACCACACUGGCACAUCAUGUGUAAAAUCUAUAAAAACAGGAAAUAAAACAAUUAGAAGCCUCUCACGCUUUAUUCUUUUGAACAUGUUCUCUCCUGGAAGAAAACGCGCAUUUUUCAAGUUCGGCGGAAGAGAUCAUUUGAACAAACAACGUUAUCGACAAGUUUGAAAAGGCAAUUUACGGAGGAUGACGUCAUGUAAAACAACGUAGAAAGAACUUUGGCAUGAAAAAUAAGAAAAGAUGUGUCUUCCGGUCUGUUCCACCGUCACCACCCGCUGAGACUUGUCCUCCAGCAUACGGCUGUUCUUUUUCUUCUCGUUAAAAAAGAGAGAGAGAGAGAGAAAAAGAAAAAAAGUUUGACUUCUAAAUCGCGCAUAAUCAAAAGAGAUUCCAGCAAUAGCAGCAGCAGCGGUGGAGAGAGCACAAGAAGAAGAUGGUGGAGGAGGAUUGUUACAAGAGAGGAGGUCGAAAACGGGGCUCGCAUACACAGAGAGAGCUGGAGGGGGGGAGGCGGAGGGAGACGAGCAGAAGAUUCGUAUAGGCUAUAAAUUUUACUGCUCUUCCAUUCUAACCUCCCUUGGCUCGCUCGCUUGUGGCUCGUCCUUGUUAGUUGGAAUUUUCAACGCUAUGGAAACAUAUAGCCUACACCGAAGCACAGGGGGGGGAAUAGAGAAAACGGAGGUGGGGAAAGAGAGGGAGGCCAGACAUACAUAUAUACAACAAAAAAAAAAAAGAAAACCUUGGGUUACGUUCUAUCGCUGCGCUCUCUCUCUCGAUUGCUUCGUCGAUGGUCGUCGCCGCCGCCGCUGCUAUUACACCGCCGUUGCCGCUUCUUCUACAGAGCUCUCUCUCUGGCUCACAGUCAGUCUCACAUAGUACAGUCGCUGCGUGCGCUGCUGCCACCAAACGUUUCGAAGGCAACCGGGGAAGAAGGAAAGAGGGAGGAAGGUUUGUGUUACAGAGACCGACCGAUCGGUGAGACGUGUUUUCCCUCUCCAAAAGUUUCCUUUUCCCUCUUCUUAUUCGGCUUUUUUUGUUGUCUCGUCUCCGUUCGUUUCGUUUAUUCUUUUUCCCUACUUCUUGACCGACGUUCGGGCUCUGUCCUAGCGUGAAUUCCCAUUUCACGUCAACCGACCACCACCACUUACCGUCCCGCACACUGACGUAAAGGUUGCUCAUCAAACGGCUUCCCAUCGUUUGGGGCUUGUCAACUCGGUGGAAAUCUUGGUUUAAUGGAGAACCACGUCAAAUCUUCGACUGCAGCAACAGGAUCAAAGCAGCUACUUGAAUUCGAUUCCGGUUCAUCAUUUGUCAACGUCAUCGACGGCUGGGACAACGAAAUUCAAACCCUUCCAUCUUCCUCACGAUAAUGGAGGUUUCUUGACUGUUCCAUGUUUUUCAUUUUAUGACUGUGUUUCUUGCUCGUGUACCACCGCUACAACUUGCGACUAUCAUGGGUGGACCCUUUCAAAGAAAAACAAGGCAAAAAAAAAAGGGACUAUAAAAACACACAUGUUGUGGAAAAUAAUGGAACGAGAACAAGAGGCAAAAAAAAAAAAAGAGAGGAAAGAUACACAAAACUGGUGAAACACGUGCUGCUACUCUCUCCGACAAACUAAUUUGCUCAUGCGGAUCUGUUGGUUUUGUUUCGUUGUUUUACCCCCUGCCUAUUUCUGGCAGGGUACGUUGAGUGCGUGUACACGCCCAUCAUAAAAAAAUCAAGGACUAAACAAUUGGCAACUGGAAAAAUAACCUGCUCACUCUAUAGCGACCCAAAACUUUAUUUUCAGGGAGAAAAAAAAAAAAGGGUUUCUCUCGUGACGGCCAAAUGGUUCAGGUUUCUUCGGAGCAAGUGGCUCAAGCUUUUUCCUGGAAAAGUUUGCUUUUUUCUUUUUUUCUCCCAUCGUCUACUCCGAAAUCAUUGAUGGUUUACAAAUCAGCCCUUAACGACAUCGACACAAUUCAAACAAGUCGCGUGACUCAUUGUUUGGUGGCAAACGCCCAGGCAACUGCCUACACAAGUUACGACAAGAAAAAGCAAGAAGCUCUGAUUUUGGAAAAAAACAAAACAAAAUCAGUUGAGGAUUUUUAGCGCGGUCAUGUUUACGGUGAGCCAACAACAGCACAUUGAUGCAAGUCAUCUCUUUCUUAUGAUUAUUAAACAUCUACUCGGUCAUGGAAUUACAUGGAAACAAAAAAUCGACACAUCCCAUUUCAGAGAAAAAAGGCAGAAUAUAUAAUUUCUAAUCAGCAAACACGAACCUGUGUGUUUUCAUCAUGAUCUUUUCAUGUUAACAUUUUUCUCCGUUUCUUUUAAGACAUAAAAAAAAAUGUACUUGAAACCGCUUCUUUUUUACAACGCUAGGUGGCUGCCACGCAAAAUUUCUGGGCAUUAAAAAAAACAAACCGUCUCCUGGCAUACACCCCAGAUCCAGCACUUAAGAAAGCUACCGUUCACCUACACACGUCAUUUGAAGUUGGACUUGAGCUCCCAAACAAAACAAAAAUGAAAACCGAAAACCAGAUUCUUUUUUCUCGUUCCGAUUGGAAUAAUCGAUUGGACCAACGAGAUAAGAUUACGUACAAUGUUCUUCUUGACAAGCCAUCGGAAUCCCAGCGUCAACAGUCACUCGAGAGCCACACCAGAAGAUUUUUACCAUCGCUGAUGUUUCCAUUGACUUCGACAACUCGCCCAGGAAAACAAAAAAUAUGUUCCAUGCUUGCAAGGCAGCCGCUGCUGCAAUGACCUUAUUCCUUUGUUCUAAAUUUGCGCUUGACUUGCACACACACACUCCAGAAGACAUAUCCCCGUGAUAUGUGCUGUCGCAGUCUUUUUUCUUUUUCUAUAUCGAGUUGCUUGGCUGCGUUUGAUGUGGACGAGAUAAAUGGAACGCCCUCCCGCUACCAUUACCGUUGAUGAAUGGAUUUUACUGCUACCCUUCAACCUCCCAGUUAUAAACGCGGGCAUCCGGAAGGAGGGAGCAAGACAUGCACAGUCAAGGAUCCAAAACGAAAACAAACAAUCUUAAAAGACACGAAAUUCAAGUCAAUGAAGAUAAAAGAGAACUUGACAGAAAAACGGAAGGUUCAAGCAGGAACGUCGCAUUCCAUUUCCGGUAUGAAGGCUGACUUUUAAAUCACACACAAAAUAAAGGAAAAAUUUCAGCCACAACUUGGAUUGGACGGACUUCUUGGUGCAGUCAAAAAUAAACAAACAAAACAUUCAAAAAUGAAAGACAAACGAGAAUCGUGUGGACGAUGAAUAAAUAUGAGAUCACAAUCACAGCGUGACAGUUCAUCAUGCUCUACAUCUACCCUGUAGAUCCGAAUUUGUAGUUGCAUCACAAGACAAAUUCGGUUCUAGAGAGGUUCGUGUGGGGCAUAAACAGCUACAUGCUAACGACGUGUUCUCAUCUCCUCGGGCAAAACCACCAUCACUUGAAUCGAUUAUGCAAUUAAUCUAAGAUAUUAUUUUUAUUUUGAACAGUUCGAUUUUGUUUUCGUACUCAACGGAGAUUACAAUACACGCACGAAAGAUAA